rnacentral:rRNA from 1 species
GUGAACAAUUAAACGGCCGCGGUACCCUAACCGUGCAAAGGUAGCAUAAUCAUUUGUCUACUAAUUAUAGACCUGUAUGAAAGGCAAAAUGAGGGCCUAACUGUCUCUUAUAAUAAAUCAAUUAAACUGAUCUCCUAGUAAAAAAGCUAAGAUUCCCACAUAAGACCAGAAGACCCUGUGAAGCUUAAACUAACCAUUAAACCCAAUAAUGACUACUUUAGGUUGGGGCGACCUUGGAAAAAACAAGAACUUCCAAACAUUACGGCCAUAAACCACACUUUAAAACUAGGCCGACAAGCCAAUAAACGACCCAGCAAUGCUGACAACUGAACCAAGUUACUCCAGGGAUAACAGCGCAAUCUUCUUCAAGAGCCCAUAUCAAAAAGAAGGUUUACGACCUCGAUGUUGGAUCAGGACAUCCUAACGGUGCAGCCGCUGUUAAGGGUUCGUUUGUUCAACGAUUAAUAGUCCUACGUGAUCUGAGUUC